AAUCAGCACCCCCGCAGCAGGAAGGGAGGGAAAAUAGUGAAAACAAAAAUUCAAGUCUGCAGACGGAGAAACACACAAUGACAUCCUCCUCCAGAGCUUGGCUUCUCCUCCUCGUGACAGUGUCCUUCCUCCUGGCGUCAGUACGUCCAGAGGUGAGCGGAGGGGACGGAAUCCAGCAGCUGAAACCACAGGAAACCACCACACAGACUGGUCAGGGUGGUGGUGAGGGGGUCAAACGAGGGGAGGAGGAAGAGGAAAGAGUCCCCCUGGAAAAACUGCCACAGAUAAUCAGGCAGCACUUGAUCCAGAAGUUGAACAUUACGGCGCCGGUGCAGCAGGGUCGUGGGUUUUUUGACGCCCUUGGCACGGCCGUGGGUGCGGGGAUGAAGCUGGCUUAUCAUGCUGCUGACGCCGUCACCUUUGGAGCUACGACCAGCCUAAUCGACAAGGCCAAGGAAGCCGCCAUUAAUGUCGCCAUUGAUGCAUACACAAGUGGCAUGUUGAACAAACGAGACGUGGGCGAAGCAGAGGCAGGUUUGGACCCACCACUGUCAAAUUAAUGAUAAGGUAGUUGCUAUAAGGCCCUCGAUAUUUUGUGCAGCAGACGAAAUUUCCACGAGAAUAAAAAUCUACUCAAAUGUACUCUAUAACAUGGCCACCAACCAAACUGCUCCGUAGUUUAAAUGCGUAUGAUUUAUUGUCUUGUUCAUGAGCCGAGGAACGGACAGCUUGGGGACUAUCACACUUGAGAAUCUCAAGUUGAGUCGGAAGGGGUGAGGCUUAAUAGCAGGACAAGGAACUCCAAUAUUUCCGUGGAGUAGUUCCCUGUUCGUAGUGUCCCUGACUGAAUGAGACACUUUGUCUCGUUCUCGCUGUCACGUCUUGGAAAACAAAGUGAAUUAAUAAUGCUCAUCAACAGUCCAUCCCAUUGAGAUUGACCUCAGUAUUAUUACAUUGUAGAGAACAAUGAUGAUUGUGUUCUUCUCAUUAUAAUUGUUGUGCACCUAUGUACACACUUCUGCUGGUUAGAAUCAGUUCCAUACCUCACCUACUUAUUAACGCCAGUAGUAUUAAGUCUUGCCUCUCCAGCCCACCUUUUUUUGGCAUGCUUGAGAGUAGAAAAGGCCUGAUCUCGUAAAUAUUAUACUGCGGAGCUACCUUGCGCUUGUUCAAUGUGGGAGAAAAAUGUUUCGAAUUUGUGGAGGACGUUUACAAUCUUCCUGUUCCUCGUUCUCCCACCCACGCUCGUGGGUGGGAAGUCAAUACCCCGUCAGAAGGAGGAAGAACCGCUUGGACGCCCUGGAUUUACGCGUCUGACACCCAGUGAACUACGACAACUCGGGUUUCAUACUGAGGACGAAUAUGAACAAUGGUUGAGGCAACAAGACGGAGAGGAUCCUUUGCUUUCGUCUAUGCGAAUAUCACCCCCUGAAAAUAUGGACCAGCAAGUUGUACCCCCUGAAAAUAUAGAACACGUUGUACCCCCUGAAAAUAUGGAACAAAUUGCUCCCCCUGAAAAUAUGGACCAGCAAGUUGUACCCCCUGAAAAUAUAGAACACGUUGUACCCCCUGAAAAUAUGGAACAAAUUGCUCCCCCUGAAAAUAUGGACCAGCAAGUUGUACUCCUUGAAAAUCAAAUAAGUCAACCAGCAAGAGUGAUAGAAAAUCUAGAGCAAAUAGAAUUAUCUCCUCAUUCAUCACUCCCCAACGUUAAUGAGCGACC